rnacentral:rRNA from 1 species
UACGUAGGUGGCGAGCGUUGUCCGGAUUUACUGGGCGUAAAGGGCGUACAGGCGGUCUGCUAAGUCUAGGGUGAAAGCUCCCGGCUCAACUGGGAGAGGUCCUUGGAUACUGACAGACUUGAGGGAGGCAGAGGAGAAUGGAAUUCCCGGUGUAGUGGUGAUAUGCCUAGAUAUCGGGAGGAACACCAGUGGCGAAGGCGGUUCUCUGGGCCUUACCUGACGCUGAGACGCGAAAGCGUGGGGAGCGAACCGG